GAUGAACGCUGGCGGCGUGCUUAACACAUGCAAGUCGAACGAUGAAGCCCAGCUUGCUGGGUGGAUUAGUGGCGAACGGGUGAGUAACACGUGAGUAACCUGCCCUUAACUCUGGGAUAAGCCUGGGAAACUGGGUCUAAUACCGGAUAGGAGCGUCCACCGCAUGGUGGGUGUUGGAUAGAUUUAUCGGUUUUGGAUGGACUCGCGGCCUAUCAGCUUGUUGGUGGGGUAAUGGCUCACCAAGGCGACGACGGGUAGCCGGCCUGAGAGGGUGACCGGCCACACUGGGACUGAGACACGGCCCAGACUCCUACGGGAGGCAGCAGUGGGGAAUAUUGCACAAUGGGCGCAAGCCUGAUGCAGCGACGCCGCGUGAGGGAUGACGGCCUUCGGGUUGUAAACCUCUUUCAGUAGGGAAGAAGCGAAAGUGACGGUACCUGCAGAAGAAGCACCGGCUAACUACGUG
rnacentral:rRNA from 1 species